CCUACGGGCGGCAGUGAGGAAUAUUGGUCAAUGGGCGCGAGCCUGAACCAGCCAAGUAGCGUGAAGGAUGACUGCCCUCCGGGUUGUAAACUUCUUUUAUAAAGGAAUAAAGUGAGGCACGUGUGCCUUUUUGUAUGUACUUUAUGAAUAAGGAUCGUCUAACUCCGUGCCAGCAGCCGCGGUAAUACGGAGGAUCCGAGCGUUAUACGGAUUUAUUGGGUUUAAAGGAAGCGUAGAUGGGUUGUUAAGUCAGUGGUGAAAGUUUGCGGCUCAACCGUAAAAUUGCAAUUGAUACUGGCAGCCGUGAGUACAGUUGAGGUAGGCGGAAUGCGUGGUGUAGCGGUGAAAUGCUGAGAUAUCACGAAGAACUCCGAUUGCGAUGGCAGCCUACUAAACUGCCACUGACAUUGAUGCUCGAAAGUGUGGGUAUCAAACAGGAUUAGAUACCCCUGUAGUC
rnacentral:rRNA from 1 species